rnacentral:tRNA from 1 species
CGUCACUUUAGCUUAGUGGCAGAGCGUCGGCUCUGUGAGCAGAAGGUCGUCAGUCCAAUCCUGACAAUCCUGG